rnacentral:sRNA from 1 species
UUGACAGCCCUGAAGAUUGAAAUACUUAAUUUAUCCAAAGAAAAAGUACUUUGUUGCCAAGGUAAUAAUCCAUCCAUAUACCUCAAUCCUGACCAAGAGUGACCAAACAGAGGCUGAGUCUUCAUUCCGUCUCUGGCCUCUGUGUUG